rnacentral:rRNA from 1 species
GAUGAACGCUGGCGGCGUGCCUAAUACAUGCAAGUCGAGCGAACGGACGAGAAGCUUGCUUCUCUGAUGUUAGCGGCGGACGGGUGAGUAACACGUGGAUAACCUACCUAUAAGACUGGUAUAUCUUCGGGAAACCGGAGCUAAUACCGGAUAAUAUUUUGAACCGCAUGGUUCAAAAGUGAAAGACGGUCUUGCUGGCACUUAUAGAUGGAUCUGCGCUGCAUUAGCUAGUUGGUAAGGUAACGGCUUACCAAGGCAACGAUGCAUAGCCGACCUGAGAGGGGGGUCGGCCACACUGGAGCGUAGACACGGUCCAGACUCCUACGGGAGGCAGCAGUAGGGAAUGUUCCGCAGUGGGCGAGAGCCUGACGGAGCAACGCCGCGUGAGUGGUGAAGGUCUUCGGAUCGUAAAACUCUGUUAUUAGGGAAGAACAUAUGUGUAAGUAACUGUGCACAUCUUGACGGUACCUAAUCAGAAAGCCACGGCUAACUACGUG